UACGUAGGGAGCAAGCGUUGUCCGGAAUCAUUGGGCGUAAAGCGCGCGUAGGUGGCCUCAUAAGUCCGCUGUGAAAGUCAAAGGCUCAACCUUUGAAAGCCGGUGGAUACUGUGAGGCUAGAGUACGGAAGAGGCGAGUGGAAUUCCUGGUGUAGCGGUGGAAUGCGCAGAUAUCAGGAGGAACACCGGUGGCGAAGGCGGUUCUCUGGGCCUUACCUGACGCUGAGGAGCGAAAGCGUGGGGAGCGAACAGG
rnacentral:rRNA from 1 species